AUGAGCCUGGUGCAUGAUGGAUUGGUGAUAAGCAAACCACCAGGGAUGAGGUUUCCCUUGAGAAGAAAUAUGCCGACAUCUGUUGAACCGGCCGGCCACCUCCACAAUGCCAAUGGCUUUGACACCGUUUCGUUGUCGGGUUCAGAACUUCAGAUGGGAGCUCAGGAAGAUUCCUGGUCUCAGAUUGAGGAGCUGAAGCAAGAGUUGGGCCAUGAGAAGAAUUUAAAUGCAGAUCUACGUGUGCAACUACAGAAAAUGCAGAUCGCUGGACACAAGAUAGACAUGUCCGAAACAAGCUCGUACCAAGAGAAAGAAGACGAGCUUAUGCUGGAUGCAUUGGUUAAGAAGAGUGACGGCAUCGCUAGUUCUGAACUACAAGAGAAGAUUCUUGAACUGAGUGAUGAAAUCGAGCUGUACAAGAAAGACCGUGAGGAUCUUGAGAUGCAAAUGGAGCAGCUUGCACUUGAUUAUGAGAUUCUGAAGCAAGAGAACCAUGACAUCUCUUCGAGGCUGGAACAAACACAACUGAGAGAGCAGCUAAGGAUGCAGUAUGAGUGUUCAGCACAUUUGUCUAUAAUAAGUGAUCUUGAGGCCAAUGUCAAGAAUCUGGAGAAUGAACUCCAGGAACAAUCUCAAAGAUUAGAGGCUGAUAUAGCAGAAGUACUGGCUGCCAAGGUUGAGCAAGAGCAGAGGUCCAUAAAGGCCGAGAAGUCUCCGAGGAAAGCACGGUGGAACAACGGUACCACUGCCGAGCGACUUCAGGAGGAAUUCAAGAGUCUAUCUUCACAAGUAUCUUCUGCUUUCAGUGCCAAGAAACGGCUGCUUGUGCAAGCAAGAAAAGAGGUCGCAGAACUACAGUUGCAGAAGAGCCAGUUGGAAGAGUUACUGCAGAAGGCCCACGAAGAUGUCGCAUCAGUCCAAGAACAACACCGGGUGAAGAUUCAGCAGUUACUUACCCCUUAG
rnacentral:rRNA from 1 species